CAAAAUUGCCGCUGCUGAAAAAAAAACAUCGGACACCCUAUCUUUCUCUCUGACUCUCUCAUUUUCAAAAUCUAUUACCGCUGCUAAAAACCCGAUGAUCAGUCACAUAGUUUUCUUACCUUUGAUUUUUCGUUUUGGGGCUUAUUUUGUUCAUCAUGUUAAUCUUGGUGAUGUUCUCCAUGAUUUUUAAUUUGAUUUCGUUCCCAGGGAAGAUGAAUCAACAAAUUUUGAGAAUAAAAAUCAGAUUGCAGAAUGGUUCAAAAAGUAACAAAAUUUCUUAGCUCCAUUGGACAUCACUUUGCACCGAUCAGUCAUAUCAUGUCCCCUUUCGUGUUCCGUCAUUUCCCGAUUUGGUGUUACACCCUUACAGGGUUGUUAAUGGAGUUAGUAUGGUUUUUUUAUGUAAGCACUUGAACUCGAUGUCGUUCAUUCAGUGCAAAGAAGGAAAACAACGACAUAUAGGUCAUCUAGCCUUGGUCUUUGUCCUUCUGUUCCUUCUUUGGAGGUUACAUCGCGCCGCUCAGUCAUGUAACUGUACUAUAUAUAGUCAUCCUCUCCAUAUAAUUGAUUGGAGGCUUUCAAUGUCCCUUUCACUAGAUUUACACUUAGGCUUACAUUUUCCAGUUCGUAUUCAAGCAGUGGCAAUGAAGAGAAUUCGAUUCAACAAUGAGUCAUCAAGGAUGACAAAGAUCAAAGAAAAGUAUUCUUUCGCGUAGUUCCUUCAUCAACAAAGAUCAAAGACUACUACAACAAUGGAUUUUUUUCUUAAAGAUCGCUCUUCAAGCAAUAUUCAAGAGAAAAGAGGCAAAAUAUCGCACGCACAACAUGAGGCAGAGAACAUGGAGUAAUGAUUUUCGCAUGAUUAGGUCGGAAUACUUCUUAUUUGUAUUCAAGGACAGAUACUUCCUAUAUUUCGAGGAUUAGUACUUCUUAUACUUCUUCAAGGAUACUUCAUACUUCGCAUACUUCAAGAAAUGAUACUUCUCAAAUAUUCUUGAACUUCACAAAAGAAUAGAGGCAAGUGCUUACUUUUCAAGAAAAGUAUUCUUUCGCGUAGUUCCUUCAUCAACAAAGAUCAACGACUACUACAACAAUGGAUUUUUUCUUAAAGAUCGCUCUUCAAACAAUAUUCAAGAAAAAACAGGCAAAAUGUAGAGGAAAAUAUCGCACGGUUAGUUAUCAUGCGAAGUUAUCAUAUUAUAUGGGAGUGAGAACAUCACACAUCAAAUCCUAAAAUAGGGGAAAUAUUAGCUGUACCCCACUACAUGUUAGUUGUCAUCCACUAUGUAAACACCUAUAUAAAGAGAAAGUCAAAGAGAGAGAAAACAAAAUUGGUAUUAUUAUUAUCUUA